rnacentral:rRNA from 1 species
UGGGGAAUAUUGGACAAUGGGGGCAACCCUGAUCCAGCCAUGCCGCGUGAGUGAUGAAGGCCCUAGGGUUGUAAAGCUCUUUUUGUGCGGGAAGAUAAUGACGGUACCGCAAGAAUAAGCCCCGGCUAACUUCGUGCCAGCAGCCGCGGUAAUACGAAGGGGGGCUAGCGUUGCUCGGAAUCACUGGGCGUAAAGGGUGCGUAGGCGGGUCUUUAAGUCAGGGGUGAAAUCCUGGAGCUCAACUCCAGAACUGCCUUUGAUACUGAAGAUCUUGAGUUCGGGAGAGGUGAGUGGAACUGCGAGUGUAGAGGUGAAAUUCGUAGAUAUUCGCAAGAACACCAGUGGCGAAGGCGGCUCACUGGCCCGAUACUGACGCUGAGGCACGAAAGCGUGGGGAGCAAACAGGAUUAGAUACCCUGGUAGUCCACGCCGUAAAACGAUGAAUGCCAGCCGUUGGUGGGUUUUACUCACCAGUGGCGCAGCUAACGCUUUUAAGCAUUCCGCCUGGGGGAGUACGGUCGCAAGAUU